GGAGGUGAACGGGGCCUGGUGGCCCUCCUGGUCUUCAAAACCAGUGAGCCGUGUGAAAGCGCGGUUGGUGGGUUCGAUUCCCAUCCACCUCCGCCA
rnacentral:tRNA from 1 species